GCCCAUAAAAGAUCCUCAUUGCCAUCUCAAAGAGCAACCGGAUAAAAAAAAAAAGAAGAAAAAUAAUCAAGUCAUAUUGUCUUGUAAUAACCAUCAUCAUGUUACAUGAUACUUGACCCUUUUGUUUAAUCUCCACACUAUGGUUUAUUCACAAAAAAAUUUCAUUUUUCAAAGCAUUGUCUUGUUUCAUGGAAGUGAAAUAAAUAAAAGGUUAAAAGGAAAAAAAU
rnacentral:lncRNA from 1 species